rnacentral:tRNA from 1 species
AGAGAAAGAGAUGUCCGGAAGGCCUUGUCCCGCACGAGGUGGUUUUUAUCCUCUGCGCUGUCGUUUAUGAUAUGUUACAAAUACUGGCAAUAAGGCCAAGACAGUCUCAUAGCUCAGCUGGUUAGAGCGCUACACUGAUAAUGUAGAGGUCGGCAGUUCGAGUCUGCCUGAGACUACGAAAAGUACAAAGUGCGGAAGUGCGGAGUGCGAAGUUCAUUGAGUAUUGAAAGGAAAUUUUAGAGGUUGAGUGAUUAUCACGUAAUGGUGAGCACGUUAUCAAGACUGUUAACUGUUGACUGAUAACUGCCGACUGGAACGGGGGAUUAGCUCAGCUGGCUAGAGCGCCUGCCUUGCACGCAGGAGGUCAUCGGUUCGACUCCGAUAUUCUCCACCACGGCAAAAGUCGUCCGCUGAUAUGUUGUAUCGGCGGCGGUGUGCCAGAAAGUUCAUUGACAUAUUGGGACGGAGCAGUGACGAUUUAUAUCGUCGCAUGCGAAGUCAAAGAAGAAACACGAAGUAGAAUAGAAUAUAAUAAGGAUUACGAGAGGGCAUUUGUACCUUAGGGUACAGGUGC